CUGUAACAGCUAAUUGCCGAGCUUUCGUUCUUCGGGAACACACGUAACUUCUGCAUUUAAAGUGUUAAAUUAUUGAAGAAAAGAACCAAAGAAGAUACUUGGAAAGCAGAAGAACUUAGGAAACAUCUAAAGGCAGCACUACCAGAGAGUCAAAAUGAAGACCAAAAACACAGAGAAAAGAAACUGCAGAGAGAGAGGAGUGUUCAUGACAUAAACCCUUACAGACAUGAAUACAGAGGCAGAGAGAAGAGCAAGGAGAGAACAAGAGAGAGGUUUAAAUCCAGUGAAAGGGACAGGGAUAAAAGGAGAGAGAGAGAAAGGGAAAAAGAACAGCAGAGAGAAGACCGAGAGAGGCACAAGGAUAAGGUUCAAGAGUCAUGGUUGGAGGAGAGACACAGUGUACUAAAAUAUAAAGACAGGGACACUGAUAGAGAACGAGACAAAAAGCACAAGACAUAUGAGAUAAUAGAUCCACAAAAUUAUCUGAAAUCAUUUGAAGGAAGAGAUACAGAACAUCACAGAAGAAGAGAAAUCAGGCAUCGUUUGGAGGAGGAGAGAGCAAGAACUGAAGAGAGAGAAAGAAGACAUAAAGCACAGAAGGUAAAGGAGGUUAAUGAAGUGUUUCCAUAACAGAAUAAGAUAAAAUUGUAGAAUAAUGAAGAAACUAGAUCAGACUGUGUUUCCCAAGAAAUCCACGAGAUGCAUAGAUAGUAAGGUGAUGACAAGUGUACAAAACAAAACCAAAAUAUAUCUCAGCUACGCAGUUUUAAGGACAUAUUUUGUCCUCUUUUUUUUAAGUAAACAUGAAAUAAAUUUUAAUAGCAAAAAAUGCUUAAUUUUUG
rnacentral:lncRNA from 1 species